rnacentral:tRNA from 1 species
CCCUGUGGCUCAGUUGGUAGAGCAUGGUGUUUGCAAUGCCAGCAUGGUGUGUGCAACGCCAAGGUUGUGGGUUUGAUUCCCACAGGGG